rnacentral:rRNA from 1 species
CGACUUUGAUGUUCGUACCUGAACAGAGCCAAACUAUGCUUGCAAAGGGCCGAGUCAGGUCAAAACUUUGAGGGAUGCUGCUGAUGCUGAUGUGCAAAUCGUCCGUCAUAAACUAUAGGGCCAAAAAGAACACAUCAAGUCGCUUGUUCCUUCCAAAUUU